rnacentral:snoRNA from 1 species
CGCAGCCUUGUCAAAUUCAGUGCUUCCCGUUCGAUGGAUGCCACUGGCCAAAACGGCUGCCACAGUAACGGUGCGGUUCAUGGGCCCCACGGCGCUCCAAUAUGGCCGCUGGGGAUAAAUCUGUACUGCGCACAGAA